GGGAUGUUGAAUGAUGAUUACUAAGUGAUCCAUCGGCAGAGUCUUGUGGCUAUGCUGAGAUUCAGAAACCUGACAACGCCCA